UCAAAGAUAGUCGUUUCAUAGACUACCUAGCGUCAAAAGUUAGGUAACAUUGACGCCUGCCAAUGUAGGUAGAGCUU